UACGUAGGUGGCAAGCGUUGUCCGGAAUUACUGGGUGUAAAGGGCGUGUAGACGGGGUUAUAAGUCAGAUGUGAAAUUCCCAGGCUCAACUUGGGCGCUGCAUCUGAAACUGUAACUCUUGAGUGUCGGAGAGGAAAGCGGAAUUCCUAGUGUAGCGGUGAAAUGCGUAGAUAUUAGGAGGAACACCAGUGGCGAAGGCGGCUUUCUGGACGAUAACUGACGUUGAGGCGCGAAAGCGUGGGGAGCAAACAGG
rnacentral:rRNA from 1 species